AUGUUUUAAGUUGAUGGGUGAAUUGGUGGGAAAUGCAUACAGGGGCGGGGCAGUUAUUUUUAAUGCUGACUGAAGAGGGAUGUUUAUUUGUGUUAUUGCUUGGUGAUGGAUUUCCCGUACCAUUAUACCAAUCAUACACAGUAAGUUGUGUUAUCCUGGAUGAAAGUCGUCUGUGGUUGUGCAGUCCAGCUGUUGACACUGUUAAUCCGUCGAGGCAAAUUUAAAACGACAAAUGUACUUGGUGCUCUCGCAUUUGUUCAAUACAGCCUUCUAGGACAAAUAACAAGUUUUUGU